GUGUUGCGAAAUUGUACGAUCCAUUCCACAUCAAUUCAUCACCUAGCAGCGCACACCUGUGUAGACGAGCCCAAUAAGUAUGUUGGACCACCUCCUUACCUAAAAGGUUAACCUAUUAGGUUGAUGUUCUACCAUACUUAUUAAGCCAUCUACACUCUUGAAUUUAAUCGAUGUGGGAUUCAUGUGAAAUCCCAACAAUCUCUACCUUUCACUUGAAUACCCAUCACAAGUAUCAUACUAGAGUAUUCUCAUCAUUAAGCACCCUUCUUUGAAUCCUUCAAGAGCUUUCUGCUCGACUCUAAUACUACUCUCAGCAAUUUUUUCCUAGAGCCAUCUGAGCCCUGCUCCACCCGAUUCAAACCUUUGAGUCCUUCAAGAGCUUUGCUUGACUCUAAUAUUACUCCACCACGUCCUGGGUGUCUCAACAACUUCUCUAGAGCCUUCCUAAGCCCGCUCCACCCGACUCAAAUCAUCCCGUGCUCCACCCACGAGGCCGUGUGCUCCACCUAAUUCAACUUUAUUUACUCCACCCACGAGGCCUGCGAAUUGUACCUUCGCGCACUCCCCUCGCACCUUGAAGUUGAUACUUGGAAUUGUUCUUGGGCCCAUCGAACCAUGAGCUUUGAUACCAUUUGUUGCGAAAUUGUACGAUCCAUCCUACAUCAAUUCAUCACCUAGCAGCGCACACCUGUGUAGACGAGCCCAAUAAGUAUGUUGGAC
rnacentral:lncRNA from 1 species